rnacentral:rRNA from 1 species
AUGCACGCUGGCGGCGUGCCUAAUACAUGCAAGUCGCGCGAACAGACGAGGAGCUUGCUCCUCUGACGUUAGCGGCGGACGGGUGAGUAACACGUGGAUAACCUACCUAUAAGACUGGGAUAACUUCGGGAAACCGGAGCUAAUACCGGAUAAUAUAUUGAACCGCAUGGUUCAAUAGUGAAAGACGGUUUUGCUGUCACUUAUAGAUGGAUCCGCGCCGCAUUAGCUAGUUGGUAAGGUAACGGCUUACCAAGGCAACGAUGCGUAGCCGACCUGAGAGGGUGAUCGGCCACACUGGAACCGAGACACGGUCCAGACUCCUACGGGAGGCAGCAGUAGGGAAUCUUCCGCAAUGGGCGAAAGCCUGACGGAGCAACGCCGCGUGAGUGAUGAAGGUCUUCGGAUCGUAAAACUCUGUUAUUAGGGAAGAACAAAUGUGUAAGUAACUAUGCACGUCUUGACGGUACCUAAUCAGAAAGCCACGGCUAACUACGUG